rnacentral:rRNA from 1 species
ACGCUAGCUACAGGCUUAACACAUGCAAGUCGAGGGGCAUCAGGAAGAAAGCUUGCUUUCUUUGCUGGCGACCGGCGCACGGGUGAGUAACACGUAUCCAACCUGCCCUUUACUCGGGGAUAGCCUUUCGAAAGAAAGAUUAAUACCCGAUAGCAUAAUGAUUCCGCAUGGUUUCAUUAUUAAAGGAUUCCGGUAAAGGAUGGGGAUGCGUUCCAUUAGGUUGUUGGUGAGGUAACGGCCCACCAAGCCUUCGAUGGAUAGGGGUUCUGAGAGGAAGGUCCCCCACAUUGGAACUGAGACACGGUCCAAACUCCUACGGGAGGCAGCAGUGAGGAAUAUUGGUCAAUGGGCGCUAGCCUGAACCAGCCAAGUAGCGUGAAGGAUGAAGGCUCUAUGGGUCGUAAACUUCUUUUAUAUAAGAAUAAAGUGCAGUAUGUAUACUGUUUUGUAUGUAUUAUAUGAAUAAGGAUCGGCUAACUCCGUGCCAGCAGCCGCGGUAAUACGGAGGAUCCGAGCGUUAUCCGGAUUUAUUGGGUUUAAAGGGAGCGUAGGUGGACUGGUAAGUCAGUUGUGAAAGUUUGCGGCUCAACCGUAAAAUUGCAGUUGAUACUGUCAGUCUUGAGUACAGUAGAGGUGGGCGGAAUUCGUGGUGUAGCGGUGAAAUGCUUAGAUAUCACGAAGAACUCCGAUUGCGAAGGCAGCUCACUGGACUGCAACUGACACUGAUGCUCGAAAGUGUGGGUAUCAAACAGGAUUAGAUACCCUGGUAGUCCACACAGUAAACGAUGAAUACUCGCUGUUUGCGAUAUACAGUAAGCGGCCAAGCGAAAGCAUUAAGUAUUCCACCUGGGGAGUACGCCGGCAACGGUGAAACUCAAAGGAAUUGACGGGGGCCCGCACAAGCGGAGGAACAUGUGGUUUAAUUCGAUGAUACGCGAGGAACCUUACCCGGGCUUAAAUUGCAGUGGAAUGAUGUGGAAACAUGUCAGUGAGCAAUCACCGCUGUGAAGGUGCUGCAUGGUUGUCGUCAGCUCGUGCCGUGAGGUGUCGGCUUAAGUGCCAUAACGAGCGCAACCCUUAUCUUUAGUUACUAACAGGUUAUGCUGAGGACUCUAGAGAGACUGCCGUCGUAAGAUGUGAGGAAGGUGGGGAUGACGUCAAAUCAGCACGGCCCUUACGUCCGGGGCUACACACGUGUUACAAUGGGGGGUACAGAAGGCAGCUAGCGGGUGACCGUAUGCUAAUCCCAAAAUCCUCUCUCAGUUCGGAUCGAAGUCUGCAACCCGACUUCGUGAAGCUGGAUUCGCUAGUAAUCGCGCAUCAGCCACGGCGCGGUGAAUACGUUCCCGGGCCUUGUACACACCGCCCGUCAAGCCAUGGGAGCCGGGGGUACCUGAAGUACGUAACCGCAAGGAUCGUCCUAGGGUAAAACUGC